rnacentral:rRNA from 1 species
UGGGGAAUUUUGGACAAUGGGCGAAAGCCUGAUCCAGCCAUGCCGCGUGAGUGAAGAAGGCCUUCGGGUUGUAAAGCUCUUUUAGUCGGAAAGAAAGAUCAUAAUGAACAAUUAUGAUUCAUGACGGUACCGACAGAAAAAGCACCGGCUAACUACGUGCCAGCAGCCGCGGUAAUACGUAGGGUGCGAGCGUUAAUCGGAAUUACUGGGCGUAAAGGGUGCGCAGGCGGUUUUGUAAGUCAGAUGUGAAAUCCCCGGGCUUAACCUGGGAAUUGCGUUUGAAACUGCAAGACUAGAGUGCAGCAGAGGGGAGUGGAAUUCCAUGUGUAGCAGUGAAAUGCGUAGAGAUGUGGAAGAACACCGAUGGCGAAGGCAGCUCCCUGGGUUGACACUGACGCUCAU